AUUGAACGCUGGCGGCAUGCCUUACACAUGCAAGUCGAACGGUAACGGGCCUUCGGGUGCCGACGAGUGGCGAACGGGUGAGUAAUGUAUCGGAACGUACCUUUCAGUGGGGGAUAACGUAGCGAAAGUUACGCUAAUACCGCAUAUUCUGUGAGCAGGAAAGCAGGGGAUCGCAAGACCUUGCGCUGAUUGAGCGGCCGAUAUCAGAUUAGCUAGUUGGUGAGGUAAAGGCUCACCAAGGCGACGAUCUGUAGCGGGUCUGAGAGGAUGAUCCGCCUCACUGGAACUGAGAAACGGUCCAGACUCCUACGGGAGGCAGCAGUGGGGAAUUUUGGACAAUGGGGGCAACCCUGAUCCAGCCAUGCCGCGUGAGUGAAGAAGGCCUUCGGGUUGUAAAGCUCUUUCGGCCGGGAAGAAAUCGUAUCAGCUAAUACCUGGUGCGGAUGACGGUACCGGCAUAAGAAGCACCGGCUAACUACGUGCCAGCAGCCGCGGUAAGAC
rnacentral:rRNA from 1 species